rnacentral:tRNA from 2 species
GGCUCUUUGGUCUAGGGGUAUGAUUCUCGCUUAGGGUGCGAGAGGUCCCGGGUUCAAAUCUCGGACGAGUCC